rnacentral:rRNA from 1 species
CAACUUUAUUGAGUAUAGGAGGUCCAGCCUGCCCAGUGACUACGGGUUCAACGGCCGCGGUAUUUUGACCGUGCAAAGGUAGCGCAAUCACUUGUCUCUUAAAUAGAGACCUGUAUGAAUGGCUAGACGAGGGCUUAACUGUCUCCCCCUUCCGGUCAGUGAAAUUGAUCUAUCCGUGCAGAAGCGGGUAUAAUUUUACAAGACGAGAAGACCCUUUGGAGCUUAAGGUACAAAAUUCAACCACGUUAAACGACUCUACGUAAAGCAAGAACUUAGUGGCGAAUGAAAUUUUACCUUCGGUUGGGGCGACCACGGAGGAGAAAGAAGCCUCCGAGUGGACUGGGCUAACCCCCAAAGCCAAGAGAUACAUCUAUAAGCCGCAGAACAUCUGACCAAGAAUGAUCCGACUGAUAAAGCCGAUCAACGAACCAAGUUACCCUAGGGAUAACAGCGCAAUCCUCUCCCAGAGUCCAUAUCGACGAGGGGGUUUACGACCUCGAUGUUGGAUCAGGACAUCCUAAUGGUGCAGCCGCUAUUAAGGGUUCGUUUGUUCAACGAUUAAAGU